GACAGAGGUCCCGAGCGUUAGGCGGAAUCACUGGGCUUAAAGCGUGUGUAGGCGGAUGCCUAAGUACCUUGUGAAAUCCCACGGCUCACCCGUGGAACUGCUUGGUAUACUGGGUGUCUUGAGCCACUUAGGGGCUACCGGAACAAAUGGUGGAGCGGUGAAAUGCGUAGAUAUCAUUCGGAACGCCAAUGGUGAAAACAGGUAGCUGGGGCUGUGCUGACACUGAGACACGAAAGCCAGGGGAGCAAACGGG
rnacentral:rRNA from 1 species